rnacentral:precursor_RNA from 10 species
UUUUUCUGGGGUAAAGUGCUUGACUUGUUGUGAAAGACAUGGGUAGUGAGAUGUUUUAAGGGUCACCUUGCUACUCUGUCUUUUGCAUGAGGUCAGGAAAUUCCAUCAGAUGAUCAG